UACGAAGGUGGCAAGCGUUACUCGGAAUUACUAGGCGUAAAGGGCAGGUAGGCGGUUUGAUAAGUCUAUUGUGAAAGCUCCCGGCUUAACUGGGAGAGGUCAACAGAUACUGUCGAACUUGAGUAUGGGAGAGGGUACUGGAAUUCCUGGUGUAGCGGUGAAAUGCGCAGAGAUCAGGAGGAACACCGAUGGCGAAAGCAGGUACCUGGACCAUUACUGACGCUCAGCUGCGAAAGCUAGGGGAGCAAACAGG
rnacentral:rRNA from 1 species